CCUACGGGGGGCAGCAGUGGGGAAUAUUGGGCAAUGGGCGCAAGCCUGACCCAGCGACGCCGCGUGAGGGAAGACGGUCUUCGGAUUGUAAACCUCUUUCAGCAGGGAAGACAAAAGGACGGUACCUGCAGAAGAAGCCACGGCUAACUACGUGCCAGCAGCCGCGGUAAUACGUAGGUGGCAAGCGUUAUCCGGAAUCACUGGGCGUAAAGAGCGCGUAGGCGGGAUAGCAAGUCAGAUGUGAAAUCCUAUGGCUUAA
rnacentral:rRNA from 1 species